rnacentral:lncRNA from 12 species
AGAAUGACUUUCUUAGGCUAUGUGGUGGUAAUGGGCUUCCACACAAAAGUCAAACCUGACUAGGCUGAGAGAGCAUUUCAGACCAGCAAACCAGCUUAGGCUGUUUUAGGCAGUUUUUCUCAGCAGGGGUCUGCUGCUCAUACAGUGAUCAAAGAGUCAGGCGCGGGCUUUCACGUGCCCAAGGCUUCACAAUUCUGACCCUUCCUCCUUUCCUGGAUGUGUUCUCUGUCUGCUCUUCGUAGGACAGUUUAACGAACAUGUAACGGUUCGUGCGGCUCACGCAAAUCGAGAGGGCAGAGCUUAGCUGACUCAGUUACAUCUAUUUCUUCGUGUUUCCUCUCACGCUGGCGAGUGAAUACAGCGCGAGGCGAGGCGAGACGCAGAACAGCACAGAGCGCCAACAGGGAUGUAUACCAAACACAGACAGAAAAACGGACACAUUUCAUCGACACGAUAUGUGCUUGUAAUGCUAUGGGUUUUUCUCUUUAACGGUUUACUGGAAAUUGUAAGCGGAAAUCCUCGGGAGGAAGAAUCUCAAACAGGCUGUUGGCCUCAGGAUAUCGGGUUCAGUCAUGUUCCAACAGAAAGGACUCAAGCUCUCUGCGUGUUCUGCGUGUUUCGAGAAGUUUCUACAUCUCUCUGAGAUUUGACCGGGGACUCUGGGACCUGCGCUGAGCUUCAGUCUCCAUAUUGCUUGACAGACCUUUAAUGCAUUUAUAACAAGGCUAGCGAUAUUAUCUACGGCAGGCGAGAGCUAUUAGCAAGAGCAAAUAUCCUGCUGAGCUGAGAAGUUGAUGUUAAAAUAUACUUAUGGCUUGUUUAUACUACAUGUGGAUUUAAAUCGAUUCACAAAGCUACCCUAUUGUUACUUCUGCUUUAACUGAAAGUCUUGUGACUUUAUAUAUAUAUAUACAUAUAUAGCUUUGCAUUUCCUAAAGGAAAUAUUGCUGAUUGUAAGCAGUGCAGGUUCUGUGCUUCAUUUGCAUAUGUAAUGAGGAAAAGAUCAAUUUCAAUUUCAAAUGCAAAUAAAACCAAGAAAUGAAAUCCUAAUUUAGAAUGCAAAUAUUAAAAUGACUAUUCAGUUUUCAAUAACAAAAACAUUCUAAGUACUGAUUCUUAUACUGGGAAUAAUGGGACAAAGGAGGCUACCAAAAAAAAAGUUUUGUGUCAGGGGAUUAUAGAUUAUUACACACAGCUUUGUAAAAUACUUCAAAUUAAAUAUUUAUGUGUAAUGCCUGUUGCCUUGAAUAACUGACCACUCAUCUGGACAAUCGAUUUCCUAUGUAAUAGUGUCUAUUGUAUCUCUGCAGUCUUUCUUUCUCUCUUUCUCUUACACUUUUUCAUUUCAUACAAUGCAAGUUGUUAAUUGAUACCAUCUUUCAUCUCAAAACAAAUAUCGACUGUAGUAAAGCUGGCCUUGGAGGACUUCAGGAUUACUUUUAUGCUGAACAUAAAACUUUAUUAGUCUACGUUUGGCUUAUUUAGUUUGUUUACAAAAAUGUGCUUUUCCUUGCCUGUCAUUCAGAUACUCAUACUGUGUCAGAUAUUUAUUAUAAACAUUGACCAGUCUAGCUUUCACGUAAAUAAAUGAAUUCACUUUCAAUUACUUAUACUUACAAAAAAAUCAAAAAAUAACCUCACCAGAGCCAGUGUGACAUUGUUCAACUCAUAACAGGUUGAAUACUCAAAAAUACACUGAAGAAGAAGAAAAAAAGGUUUACUCAAAUUGCUAGUAUUUUUCACAAAUAAUAAAAAAGGGGCAAGGAAUUUAGUGUGAUUUUUUUUCUAGUCAAAAGACUUUCUUGUGUGACAUAUUCCAAUACAGUGUAGUUUGAAAUGGGUCUGUACUUUAAGCUGUUCAUGCUGAAUUAAUUGCUGAAAAUUGUUGAGAAAAAAAAGAAUAUGAACAUCAGCAGUAUUGUAAUUCAAUAAUAAGUAUGUAAAUAGUCCUAUUUGACUGGGGACCAGUCUGCCUGUUGUAUAAAAUUUGAAAGAAUUCUUCUCUUCGAGGAAGGCCCGGGUUCAUGCGUUGUAGACUUAUUAGAAAUAUGCACAUAAUAGCACAGGAGGUAUAAUCUUUUUGCAGUGUCUUCUCACAGAACUUUGUGCUCACCACAGCUGCAUGGGUUAGUUAUAUCACCAUUAUUCAUUUAUACGCCUUAUGUUUAUGCGAUGAGAAGAAAGAUGGAUGACUUUGGGUUUCAUCAGUAUGUCUGAAAAGCCCCUUGUUCCUGGAAUGUUCCAUUAGUCCCUGGACUACAGUUUUUCUAUCAGGAUAAUGACUUUCAUAAAUUGGCUCACACAAUAGAUAAUGGUUGUUUUUCCUUGUGAAAGUGACUUUUGUGGCAUGGAAUCUUAUUAUAAUGCUAUCUCUUCUCAAGCUGUAGUCCCUCUGUACAUUGUUAUAAAUCCUCUCUGUUUUUUUUUAUUAUUAUUUUUUUAUUUUUUAAAUACAGCAUCAAUUUCAAAUUUUGUGUAUUAUUAGGUUUUACUGCAUAGAGCCCUUGUGAAAAAGUGUGCUUAAUUGUAUUGAAUGUGUACUUGUAGUGUACUUCACAUUUUAAAAGUAUAUUAAAAAACCUGUACUUGCAGGUAGUUUAAUAUUAAUUAAAAAAAGGCCACUUAAGUAUACUUAAAGUACCGUUUAAUGACUGUUUAUUAACACAUUUAAAUAACUUUAAAGUACAUUUUAAAUCUUUGUUUUGAUUAUAUUUGGCAUGCUUUAAAGAAGUACACUUUUGAUAUCUUGACUAAAAUAUACUAAAG